rnacentral:rRNA from 1 species
UACAGAGGUCUCAACCGUUGUUCGGAUUCAUUGGGCGUAAAGGGUGCGUAGGCGGUCGUGCAAGUCGGAUGUGAAAUCUCAGGGCUCAACCCCAAUGACUGCAUUCGAUACUGGCGUGCUUGAGGAGUCUGGAGAGGAGACUGGAAUUUACGGUGUAGCAGUGAAAUGCGUAGAUAUCGUAAGGAAGACCAGUGGCGAAGGCGGUCUCUGGACAGUCACUGAGAGCACGAAGGCCAGGGGAGCAAACGGG